AGAGUUUGAUCCUGGCUCAGGAUAAACGCUGGCGGCGUGCCUAACACAUGCAAGUCGAACGUCCUUUUUUCUCGCGAGGGAAGAGAGGGAGUGGCGGACGGGUGAGUAACACAUGGGUACCUGCCUCACAGUGAGGAAUACCGGCGAGAAAUCGCCGACAAGACCGCAUAGGCUCGGCGGGGGACCCUCCGCUGAGCAAAGCUCUUUCGGGGGCGCUGUGAGAGGGGCCUGUGGCCGAUUAGCUAGCUGGUGGGGUAAGAGCCUACCAGGGCGAUGAUCGGUAGCUGGUCUGAGAGGACGAGCAGCCACACUGGGAUUGAGAACGGCCCAGACUCCUACGGGGGGCAGCAGUGAGGAAUUUUCCGCAAUGGGCGCAAGCCUGACGGAGCAACGCCGCGUGCAGGAGGACGGCCUUCGGGUUGUAAACUGCUUUUCUCCGGGACGAGCAAGGACGGUACCGGAGGAAGAAGCCCCGGCUCACUACGUGCCAGCAGCCGCGGUAAUACGUAGGGGGCGAGCGUUGUCCGGAGUUACUGGGCGUAAAGCGUCCGCAGGCGGUUCUGCGCGUGUCCGGUGCCAGUCCUCGGCUUAACUGAGGGAGUGCCGGGCAGACGGCAGGACUCGAGGGCCUCAGAGGGACAUAGAAUUCCGGGUGGAGUGGUGAAAUGCGUAGAGAUCCGGAGGAAUACCAAUGGCGCAGGCAGUGUCCUGGGAGGCUACUGACGCUGAGGGACGAAAGCCAGGGGGGCGAGCGGGAUUAGAUACCCCGGUAGUCC
rnacentral:rRNA from 1 species